rnacentral:rRNA from 1 species
UACAGAGGGUGCAAGCGUUAAUCGGAAUUACUGGGCGUAAAGCGUGCGCAGACGGUUGCGUAAGUCAGAUGUGAAAGCCCCGGGCUCAACCUGGGAAUUGCAUUUGAGACUGCGUGGCUAGGGUGCGGAAGAGGGAAGCGGAAUUUCCGGUGUAGCGGUGAAAUGUGUAGAUAUCGGAAGGAACACCAGUGGCGAAAGCGGCUUCCUGGUCCAGCACCGACGUUCAGGCACGAAAGCGUGGGGAGCAAACAGG